rnacentral:lncRNA from 1 species
CGGCAUAUCAAAGAACCCCAAUUAUUCAAUUUUUGAUGAAAUCACACAAAGUUCAAUUUUGGACCCUUUGGGCCCCUUAUUCCUAAACUGUAAGGACCAAAACUCCCAAAAUCAAACCCAACCUUCCUUUUAUGGUCAUAAACCUUGUGUUUAAAUUUCAUAGAUUUCUAUUUACUUAUACUAAAGUUAUUGUGCGAAAACCAAGAAUAAUGCUUAUUUGGGCCCUUUUUUGGCCCCUAAUUCCUAAACUGUUGGAACCAAAACUCCCAAAAUCAAUCUCAACCUUUCUUUUGUGGUCAUAAACCUUAUGUCAAAAUUUCAUAGAUUUCUAUUUACUUAAACUAAAGUUAUAGUGCGAAAACCAAGAAAAUGCUUAUUUGGACCCUUUUUGGCCCCUAAUUCCUAAAAUGUUGGGACUAAAACUCCCAAAAUCAAUCCCAACCUUCCUUUUGUGGUCAUAAACCUUGUGUUAAAAUUUCAUAGAUUUCUAUUCACUUUUACUAAAGUUAGAGUGCGAAAACUAAAAGUAUUCGGACGACGACGACGACGACGACGCCGAAGACGACGACGACGCAGACGACGACGCCAACGUGAUAGCAAUAUACGACGAAAUUUUUUUCAAAUUUUGCGGUCGUAUAAAAAUGAAA